rnacentral:rRNA from 1 species
UCCGGUUGAUCCUGCCAGAGGCCGCUGCUAUCCGGCUGGGACUAAGCCACGCUAGUCUAGGGGCUUGUACCCCUUCGGGGGUGCAAGCACCGGCGGACGGCUCAGUAACACGUGGACAACCUGCCCUCGGGUGGGGGAUAACCCCGGGAAACUGGGGCUAAUCCCCCAUAGGUGAUGGGUGCUGGAAUGCCCCAUCUCCGAAAGCGCUCAGCGCCCGAGGAUGGGUCUGCGGCGGAUUAGGUAGUUGGUGGGGUAACGGCCCACCAAGCCUAAGAUCCGUACGGGCUGUGGGAGCAGGAGCCCGGAGAUGGACCCUGAGACAAGGGUCCAGGCCCUACGGGGCGCAGCAGGCGCGAAACCUCCGCAAUGCGGGAAACCGCGACGGGGUUAGCCGGAGUGCCCGUGCAUUGCACGGGCUGUCGGGGUGCCUAAACAGCACCCCAUAGCAAGGGCCGGGCAAGGCCGGUGGCAGCCGCCGCGGUAAGACCGGCGGCCCGAGUGGCGGCCACUCUUAUUGGGCCUAAAGCGUCCGUAGCCGGCCCAGUAAGUCCCCCGGGAAAUCUGGUCGCUUAACGAUCAAACUUCCGGGGGAUACUGCUGGGCUAGGGACCGGGAGAGGC